rnacentral:rRNA from 1 species
AUGAAAAUGCUCACCACUAAGUAUGAUGGUAAAAGCGGCGUGAGAGAACAUAUCAUGACUGUGAAUGAUAUGGCUACGAAAUUAAAGGGCAUGGACAUGGAGAUUUCUGAGGGCUUCCUGGUUCGCUUCAUUAUGACCUCUCUUCCUAUGGAGUAUGGUCCCUUCAAGAUUAAUUAUAAUACUCAGAAGGAGAAGUGUUCCACGAGUGAGAUCACAUGUAUGUGCGUUCAAGAAGAAGAGCGGCUUAAGGUUGAAAGGAUAGAUUAUGCUCAUCUUACUUCCAUAAACUCAGGGAAAAGAAAGUCUCAGUGUGAUGGGAAACCUAAGAAGAAGAUGAACAUCUCUAAUAUUGAUGCAAGCAAGCUAGGGACCUCUGGCACCAAGGUCAUCCCUACAGAGCCUAAGGGUCCUAAGUGUCAUUUCUGUAAGGAAGAUGGGCAUGUCAUGAAAGAAUGUGAUGGCUUUAAGGCAUGGCUUGCUAAGAAGGGGAUUCCAUUCCAUGAGGACAUUCAAAAGGAUGAAUCAAAGUCUUAUAUUUCCAAGUGGCAAGGAGACUGA